CCCUUAGAUGUUCUGGGCCGCACGCGCGCUACACUGAUGCAUUCAACGAGUCUAAAACCUGGUCUGAUAGGGCUGGGUAAUCUUUUGAAUGUGCAUCGUGAUUGGGAUAGAUGAUUGCAAUUCUUCAUCUUCAACGAUGAAUGCCUAGUAAACGCAAGUCAUCAGCUUGCAUUGAUUACGUCCCUGCCCUUUGUACACACCGCCCGUCGCUCCUACCGAUUGAAUGUUCCGAUGAAUACCAUGGACUGAGAGUAUGAAUGGGUUCGCCUAUUUCUGCUUCUCGGGAAGUGGAGUAAAUCUUAACAUUUAGAGGAAGGAGAAGUCGUAACA
rnacentral:rRNA from 1 species